GUGAGUGAGUUAUGGUAGAAGAAGAUAAAAUAUAAGGGUCCAUUGAUGUUUUUGUUUGGACUUUGGACUAUUAAAAGCUUGUAGUCCGUGCCUACUUUAUUAAACUGUCCUUUGAAUGUGACAGGUGGGUUUGAAUAUUGAUUAGACAACUGUAUUUCACUUUUAAAAGUAGAAUUUCUGUUUACAAGCUGAUCCCAUUUGAU
rnacentral:misc_RNA from 1 species